rnacentral:sRNA from 2 species
UAUCUCUCCGUACGGGGAAGGAUGAGAAUCUUCGACUAAGGUUCGAUUCGAGCGCAGCGAGAAAGCGUUGCCGUAGGCAACGACCCGAAGGGCGAAGCGCGCAGCGCUGAGUAAUCCUUCCCCCACCACCA